rnacentral:rRNA from 1 species
AACGAACGCUUGCGGCAGGCCUAACACAUGCAAGUCGAACGGUAGACUGGUUUCGGCCAGUUGAGAGUGGCAAACGGGUGCGUAACACGUGGGAACAUGCCCAUAGGUGGGGAAUAACUACGGGAAACUGGUAGCUAAUACCGCAUACCCUCUACGGAGGAAAGAUUUACCGCCUAUGGAUUGGCCCGCGGUCGAUUAGAUAGUUGGUGAGGUAAUGGCUCACCAAGUCUAUGAUCGAUAGCUGGUUUGAGAGAACGGCCAGCCACAUUGGGACUGAGACACGGCCCAGACUCCUACGGGAGCAGCAGUGGGGAAUAUUGCACAAUGGGCGCAAGCCUGAUGCAGCCAUGCCGCGUGUGUGAAGAAGG